rnacentral:rRNA from 1 species
UACGAAGGGUGCAAACGUUGUUCGGAAUUACUGGGCGUAAAGCGCGCGUAGGCGGCUUUGUAAGUUAGAGGUGAAAGCCCGGAGCUCAACUCCGGAAUUGCCUUUAAGACUGCAUCGCUAGAAUCAUGGAGAGGUGAGUGGAAUUCCGAGUGUAGAGGUGAAAUUCGUAGAUAUUCGGAAGAACACCAGUGGCGAAGGCGACUCACUGGACAUGUAUUGACGCUGAGGUGCGAAAGCGUGGGGAGCAAACAGG